CAAGUCCGUCGGGAAACCAUACGCUCAACGUAUGGGCGUCCGGCGGAAACUGCCAGGCUUGGGACCGGAAGGCUCGAGGGGUACGUCCGGGGUAGGAGUGAAAUCCUAUAAUCCCGAACGGACCACCGAUGGCGAAAGCACCUCGAGAAAACGGAUCCGACGGUGAGGGACGAAAGCCAGGUUCUCGAACCGGAUUAGAU
rnacentral:rRNA from 1 species